AAGCUAUUUCCUCCGUUCUAAAUUACUUGUCACAGAAAUGGAUGUAUGUAGAACUAAAAUAUAUCUAGAUACAUCCAUACCUGCGACAAAUAAUUCGGAACGAAGGGAGUAGUUA
rnacentral:pre_miRNA from 1 species